rnacentral:rRNA from 1 species
GAUGAACGCUGGCGGCGUGCUUAACACAUGCAAGUCGAACGAAGGUCGAGGAGCUUGCUCCUCGAUACUGAGUGGCGGACGGGUGAGUAACGCGUGGGUAACCUGCGCUAUGCAGGGGGAUAACGUUUGGAAACGAACGCUAAUACCGCAUAAACUAUGGGUAAUCGCAUGAUUGCUAGAGCAAACAUAUUUCGGCAGAGGAAGGACCCACGUUGGAUUAGCUAGUUGGUGAGAUAACAGACCACCAAGGCGACGAUGCAUAGCAGGCCUGAGAGGGUGAACGGCCACAUUGGGACUGAGACACGGCCCAAACUCCUACGGGAGGCAGCAGUGGGGAAUAUUGCACAAUGGGCGAAAGCCUGAUGCAGAAACGCCGCGUGAAGGAUGAAGGUCUUCGGAUUGUAAACUUCUAUCAGCAGGGAAGAAUAAAUGACGGUACCUGACUAAGAAGCUCCGGCUAACUACGUGCCAGCCGCCGCCGUAAAAC